UACAGAGGGUGCGAGCGUUAAUCGGAAUUACUGGGCGUAAAGCGUGCGUAGACGGUCAUGUAAGUCGGGUGUGAAAGCCCCGGGCUCAACCUGGGAAUUGCAUUCGAGACUGCGUAGCUAGGGUGCGGAAGAGGGAAGCGGAAUUUCCGGUGUAGCGGUGAAAUGCGUAGAUAUUGGAAGGAACAUCAGUGGCGAAAGCGGCUUCCUGGUCCAGCACCGACGUUCAGGCACGAAAGCGUGGGGAGCAAACAGG
rnacentral:rRNA from 1 species